UAAAUUUGGGGCACGGAUCUUGCUGUUCUCGAUGUGAAAAGAUUUAGAAGGUUAUUUAUUUUACUGUUACAUAAGUAUUUAUAAUAGCUUUUUGGAGGUGAAACGUUAUUCGGUUUUCGGGGUAUCUAGUUAUUCAGGAAAUAAAUUUAAUUUUGCCAGCUUUAUAUUAAGAUCAAUUUAUUGGUUUAGUUGUGUUGCUGAGUAAUACUUAAGGGGAUAAGCUUUUAAGUGGAAUUCUAUAAUUUUUUAUGUUUGCAAUUAAUCGUAGGAUUAGAAGUUUCCAUCGAUAAUAUGGUGUUAUAACAGUUUUUUGUUUUAUUUGAUUUAAAUUAAAUUUAGGUUGUUUACUGAAUUAAUUUGUUUAAUUUUAGUUCUUUUGUAAUAAUGAUGGAAUUAGUAUAUUAUAAUGUAUAAUUAAUUGUAUGUGUUAGAUUAUUUUAAGGAACUCGGCAAAUAUUUUUUCGCCUGUUUAUUAAAAACAUGUCCUUUUGAUGAUGAUUUAAGGUCUGGCCUGCCCACUGAUGAAAUUUAACGGCCGCGGUAUUUUGACCGUGCAAAGGUAGCAUAAUAAUUAGUUUUUUAAUUGGAAGCUGGAAUGAAUGGUCGGACGAGAAAAAUACUGUCUCAAAUUAAUUAGUAGAAUUUUAUCUUUGAGUUAAAAAGCUCAAAUGGUUUUAAAAGACGAGAAGACCCUAUAGAGUUUUAUAUUUGUUUGAUUAUCUAUGUUUUGGUAAUAUAAAUUUAAUUGUUGGGCAAGUAUUUUGUUGGGGCGACAGAAAAAUUGACUUAACUUUUUCUUUAUUAUUACAUUAAUUUAUGGUUAGUUGAUCCGUUUUUUACGAUUAUAAGAUUAAAUUACCUUAGGGAUAACAGCGUUAUUCCUUUUGAGAGUUCUUAUCGAAAAAGGAGUUUGCGACCUCGAUGUUGGAUUAAAAUUAACUGUUGGUGCAGUAGCUGAUAGGUUAGGUCUGUUCGACCUUUAAAAUUUU
rnacentral:rRNA from 1 species